rnacentral:lncRNA from 1 species
CUUCUCCACUCUCCAGACCUGAGAACACAUUCCAAUCCAGAAUUUAUCCUUAAAACCUACUCCAAUUCGGAAUUAAUCUCCAAAAACCACUACUCUACUAGUCUACCACUGCAAAAGUUCCGACGAAAUCCAGAGGACUAGAGGUUGGGCUGCUUCGGCACGUUCGCACACAGAGAGUUCGCAUUUCACAAACUGCUAAGGUCACGCAAAUUCGGAGGUUGGUUUCCAUUUAUUUUAGGAAACUGAAAACCCUUGAUUCCUUGAAAAUCUUUCCAUGACUUUCGUUUUUAUUGGGGUUUUAAGAUUAAAAUACCCAAAAUCUUCUGCACAUAAAUAAAGCAAAAAAAAAAUCUUAACAAGAAUUAAACAACUAAUGCCAUCACCUCGAAAUCUCUAAGUUUCACUUUCUCAAUUCCAAAAUCAUGAGCAUAUUACAGAUUUACAUAUUGCAGUCGCCAGUCGGUGUCGAUAUACCUGUGUUUGUGUAUGUUGUGAUAAAAGUUAAAAUUUAAAAAGUACCUGACCGAGAAUCAGAAAUGGGUUUUUGCUUAAUUUGAAGAAGGGUAUCUUGAUCUGCAAUUUUGCAACAAAUUUGAAGUUUAAAAAAAAAAAAAAAGUAUUGAUGAGUGAUGAAUGCAAGCUUGGACUCCGCCACUACGGAUUGCAGAAACUAGACUUCAGUCUUUAGUCUUCUAGUUGCAAUAAUUUUAGGAAUUUUUCAAUAAGUAGUAUUAUAUUAAGUAGUAGGGAUAAGGGAUGAUAUGUGGGGUCCAGGGUAUUAAGAGAUUUUGGGAAAAACAUAAUAUACAUUUUUGUGUUUUAGGCCUGAAAUGGUGAUAAACGUGUCCACAGAAAAGUGUAAUUUCAUAUUAACAACUCCUCCAAAGAAUAUAAAAAUUAUGACGACAUAUGAUAAGAAUGUGAUAUUAUUUCACAUUUUUUCGUUUCGUAAAAUUGUUAGCCAAACAAAAACUGAUUAAAAUUUUCCAUUCAAUUUGAAUAAAUUGAAGCUUAUUUCACAUUUUUCCAUUUUGUAAAAUUAUUGCAUAUUGAGAUUAAGAUCCAAAAAUGCAUUUUCUUUUUUAAAAGCUUAUUCUCUUCUUUUUUUGGGUGUGGGAUCUAUUCUCUCUUUGUUUUGUUCAUUUCUUGGUAGCAGCGGAAUUGCUUGAUAAUCAGACUCUGCGUUUUCGACCGCAACCUAGAACAGCCGCAUUGUCUAUUUCAAUCACCACGCGACCACCACUACCACCAAUUUCUGAAUCCUUUCAUUUUGGGGACUCAUCAAUCA